GAUGAAGAACGCAGCGAAAUGCGAUAAGUAAUGUGAAUUGCAGAAUUCAGUGAAUCAUCGAAUCUUUGAACGCACCUUGCGCUCCUUGGUAUUCCGAGGAGCAUGCCUGUUUGAGUGUCAUGAAAUUCUCAACCUUUUCAGCUUUCUUUGUUGAUCAGGCUUGGAUGUGGGAGUAUGCAGGCUUCUCAGAAGUCGGCUCUCCUGAAAUGCAUUAGCGGGACCUUUGUUGCCUGGCUUUGGUGUGAUAAUUAUCUACGCCAUUGUAGUCAAGGAGCUUAAAAUGAGGUUUCAGCUUCUAACCGUCUCCCCUGAGACAACUUUUUGACAAUUUGACCUCAAAUCAGGUAGGACUACCCGCUGAACUUAAGCAUAUCAAUAAGCGGAGGA
rnacentral:misc_RNA from 1 species